CCCGAUACGGACUCUAAACCCUAACCCCAUCUAUCCCUCCCCCUAUAUAAAUUACCCAUCCCACGGAAUUCCAUCAUCCGCCGCCGAAGAGAAGCGGUAGGUAUACCGUCCAGAAUUCCUUGCCACGCCACUCAAGAUCCAGAUCCGUCCGUUCUUAGGUAUUCCCGUUUUGAAGUCAAGAUCGAUUUUGGUUGGUUUUCUGGUUUCUUUGAUGGCAGUGACGAUUUGCAAAAUUCAAGCUCAACAGACCAAAUCACAGGUUUUCUCAUGAGAGUUGAUCUGUAUGCCGAUUAUCCCGCUGAACUGAGCCAUUUGAUUUUUGUUAUCGAUUGUCAUUAUAUUCUUAAGAUCUGUUUCCUUUUUCCUUCAUGAUUAGCUUGUUGGCGUUAUCUUUUUUUGGAUCUAUUUCCUUCAUGAUUAUUGUUUUGUUACAUUGGAUUGUUCAUGAUUAUUGUUUUGGUACGGAGGUUGUUGCGAUGAGGAUACAAAGCUCCCUCUUCUGAAAGCAUUGAGGACAUAGCUGGCGGAAUCGAACCAAUUACCAUGCCACCACUGAGUAACUAUGUAUACCUCCUAGUUUAUUUGCCUUUUUUUCCCUUCUCUAAUUGAUUCGGAUUAUGAGGAGGUAUUGAUGCAUAAUCCAACACUUGAUCCGAGGGUGGCUUCAGCCACCAAAUGAUGUCAUCUUUGCAUCUGAAUCCGCCAGAGACCAGUUUCUUUUUUCCUACUUGUUUUGAUGUUCUUAUUAUUUUUGGCUUUCCAGUAUCAGAGGAUGAAACCUCGAAACAAUCUUAGGACACCUUCUGACACAGUGCCUAUUUUCCUGUGGAUGAGAAGGCAUUUAUAUUCUGAUGAUACUAAGAACUUCCCAUCUUGUGUUAGUAUAUCUGCUCUUGUUCGGCUGCUGCUGGUUACCCCUGUGAGUGAGGAGCUCGGACCAUAGGAAGUGCCGUUUGACACUGUAAACAGCAGCUGCUUCUCUCCACUGCAAGUGUCCUUCCUUCGACAAUAACCUCUGUGGUUUGGUCUGGGCCGGAAUCUUCAUUUGCACCUGGUUUGAUUCAGCUGUGUGCGUGAUUUUAAGCGGGUCUCUGAGGGAUCACGUCUAACAUUUUAUUAUCUGCUGAUUAUAUAUAUAUGCAAUCUAGCUUGGGCCUGAUGCCACGUCUCCAGUAGCUACGUGCACUGACUGCAGAUGCUAUGAUUGGGCCAACAAAGAGUCGUUUGGUGUCUCACAUGUUGAUAGGAACCUGGGAUUGCAUUCCAAUCAGUCUACAGAGCCGGUUAUUGUGAUUACAUCUGUUUUUAGCAUCGUCAGCCAAAUUGUUGAUUCAACAUUGUUUUCCUAAUAUUGUUUUACCGUCAGCUUGCAUUUCAAAUGAUGAUAAAUUCAAGGCUUGUUUCUCAAAACAUUCGCAGUUGCCGCCUAAGAGCUUUCGCCCUGCCAGGCUUGAGAGCUAGUGCUGCUAGAUCCUUCCUUGGAUGUCUGAUGACAAAGCAAGAUAUUUUCAAUUUUUUUUGAAUAUGCUGUUUCACGAUGACUGUUUGAGCGAGCGGCAUGCCUGGUGAUGAUAAAUUUAAGGCCUGUUUCUCAAAACAUUCGCAGUUGCCGCCUAAGAGCUUUCGCCUUGCCAGGCUUGAGAGCUAAUGCUGCUAGAUCCUUCCUUGGAUGUCUGAAGGCACUCGCUCACUCUGUUUUCGGCCAUCUUUUGGUAUAUUUUGUCAGCUAAUCUGUUUUCAGGUGAUCCUUUUUUUAUGAAGUCAUUCGCGGGCUGCAAAGGCGCCGAAAAUCACUAGAAGACAGAUUACCUGACAAAAUAUACGAAAUAAAAAAAGGCUGACGGUGAGCGACAUGAUGAAAUGCUUCUUUACUGCAGCAACUCAAUUUAUACCGAUAACUAAACCAUCGGACAGUAAAUUGGUUAAACUUAGCUCUAGAUUCGAUGAAUGAUAUCGUAUCUAGCAGCGAUUUUAUAGGGCGAAUCUGAGUUCUAAAAAAUUGCAGCGAGUCAUGCUCUGUUACAGUUAUGGAUUCGCAUGAGUCGUCUGUAGAAGAGAUCACCUUCACAAACCAAGCAUUGGUGUAAUCACCUAAACAAACCAAGCAUUGGUGAAUGGAAAAGUGAGAGAGAAUGUAACAAUAUUGUAGUGAAUUUGUUGAUUGAACAAACCAAGGAUUGCUGGUAGCA